UGGCCUCAUGCGACGACGGGUAGCCGGCCUGAGAGGGUGACCGGCCACACUGGGACUGAGACACGGCCCAGACUCCUACGGGAGGCAGCAGUGGGGAAUAUUGCACAAUGGGCGAAAGCCUGAUGCAGCGACGCCGCGUGAGGGAUGACGGCCUUCGGGUUGUAAACCUCUUUCAGCAGGGACGAAGCGAAAGUGACGGUACCUGCAGAAGAAGCACCGGCUAACUACGUGCAGCCAGCCGCGGG
rnacentral:rRNA from 1 species